CUUCAGAUGAAAACAGCAGAAGAUGAAGCAGAAUCUCUUUAACACAGAUUGAAUCACGUGACAAACAGGAGCACAGGUCAUGCUGAGCAUCUGAUGGUCUUCAGCGACACAGAGACACCAGAGCUGAGCUGUUUUCAGUGUCAGUUUAUCUGCAGUAAUGUCAGAGGAGCGAGGAAAGGACUCUCUCUCUAAGAUGAGUCUCUCAGAGAAACAGAGUGAAAGAUCAGACUCACAUGUGUCCAGCUCUGUGUCUCUGAAGAGUGACCGGUCAAAAGGUGAAGUACCAACAUUCAGUGA